UACGGAGGGUGCAAGCGUUGUCCGGAUUCCUUGGGUUUCACGGGUGCGCAGGCGGGCCAUUCCGUCAGGGGUGAAAGACGGUUGCUCAACAAUCGCAGUGCCUUUGAUACUGGUGGUCUUGGGUGACCUUGAGGUAGGCGGAAUGGGUGGUGUAGCGGUGAAAUGCAUAGAGACCACCCAGAACUCCGAUUGCGAAGGCAGCCUACUGGAGGUUUACCGACGCUCAGGCACGAAAGCGUGGGGAUCAAACAGG
rnacentral:rRNA from 1 species